AGCAGCCGCGGUAAUUCCAGCUCCAAUAGCGUAUAUUAAAGUUGUUGCAGUUAAAAAGCUCGUAGUUGAAUUUCGGGGUUCUACCGUUGGUCGGGCUUUGUCUGUACUGGCGUGUAGAAUUUCUACCUUCUGGGGAACCAUCAUGUUAUUAAUUUAACGUGGUGGGAAACCAGGACCUUUACCUUGAAAAAAUUAGAGUGCUCCAGGCAGGCCUAUGCUCGAAUACACUAGCAUGGAAUAAUAGAAUAGGACGUGUGGUUCUAUUUUGUUGGUUUCUAGGACCGCCGUAAUGAUUAAUAGGGACAGUCGGGGGCAUCAGUAUUCAAUUGUCAGAGGUGAAAUUCUUGGAUUUAU
rnacentral:rRNA from 1 species